UCGUGCGUGGCCGGGGCCGACCUCAUAGUCGUCAAGAACGACUAUCGGCCCGAGUUCAAUAUCCCGGCGCACGAA
rnacentral:tRNA from 1 species